CGUGUAGGCGGUCAGGUAAGUGGAACGUGAAAUGCCCCGGCUCACCCGGGGACCUGCGUCCCAAACUGCUUGGCUUGAGUAUGGGAGAGGAUGAGGGAAUUCCUGGUGUAGCGGUGAAAUGCGUAGAUAUCAGGAGGAACACCGGUGGCGAAGGCGCUCAUCUGGCCCAAUACUGACGCUGAUGCGCGAAAGCUAGGGGAGCAAACGGGAUUAGAUACCCCGGUAGUCCUAGCUGUAAACGGUGAUCACUAGGUGUUGGAGGCAUCGACCCCUCCAGUGCCGCAGCUAACGCAUUAAGUGAUCCGCCUGGGGAGUACGGCCGCAAGGUUGAA
rnacentral:rRNA from 1 species